rnacentral:lncRNA from 1 species
GGUGGAGGAGGUGGAGGAGGUGGAGGAGGUGGAGGAGGUGGAGGAGGUGGAGGAGGUGGAGGAGGUGGAGGAGGUGGAGGAGGUGGAGGAGGUGGAGGAGGUGGAGGAAGGGUACCUGGAGUACCGGCAGGUGCCCGGCAGCGAGCCCGCACGCUACGAGUUCCUGUGGGGUCCCAGGGCCCACGCAGAAACCAGUGGCGUGCAAGUGCUGCAGCACUUCCUCGCGGUCAACAGCAGGCAGCCCGGGUCUCCGUGUCUGUCCGAAGAGGCUGUGAGCCAUGAGGAAGAGCGGGCCUGAGCCCGAGGGGCAGCCGGGCCCGUUCCCACCUGGGGUCGAGCAGCUUCUCCUGCGGGGCACGAAGCCAGGCCACUUCUCCCCUGCGAGUGCGAGCAGAGCGGGCGCUGGGCGUUAAGGUUUCGUGAGCUUCGGGCUCAGUGUGGGAGUGGCACCCACGCCACAGGUGUUCAAGAGUCAGAGUUGUGCCGUUUGGUGCAACGAGCUGGGAACCUCAGUCUGGGAUGCCUGGUUCGGGCCGGCAGAGAGAAGGGGCCCGGCCGGGCAGCAAGGCGUGCACGUCGACAUGUGAGGGAGCACGGCCGGCCCCCCCAUCCCGGAAUCCAGGUCAGUCCAGCCGGCAGCCCGAGAGACCCCGGCAGGGUGGUCAGGCGGAGCCCUCCUCCCAGCGGGGCUAAGGGUGGUAGACUCGGGGCCCCAGAGGGACGGGCCCAGGCUCUUCCUGGAGCUGGUGUCUGGACCUGAGGGAGAGCGGUAGGGCCUACUACACCCACCCACCCUGGGUAGAGGCAGGCGCUCAGGCCCCGCUGAGGCCGGGGUUUCUGGAGAGGGCGGCCGCAGGCUGUGUCCACUCAACUGUACCUCGGGGGUUUGAGGGAGCCGAGGACCUUGGGGUGAGGGACAGGAUCCCAGGUCAGAAAGGGCAGGGGCACGGGCCGGGCUAGGGAGUCCAGGUGGGGACAUGGGGGGCGGACCGAAGGACUCAGGUCCCUAGGACACACAGAAGGAACCUGCCAGAGUUCGGGCACCCGCGUCCUUCUGUGAAGGGCCAUGGGCAGGAUGGGCAUUUGGGUGGAUGAGUCGGGCCAGACUUCCACAGUGGAGUCUCACAGACACGGGGUGUGUGUGUGUGUGUGUGUGUGUGUGUGUGUGUGUGUGUGUGUGUGUGUGUGUGUGUGUGUGUGUGUGUGUGUGUGUGUGUGUGUGUGUGUGUGUGUGUGUGUGUGUGUGUGUGUGUGUGUGUGUGUGUGUGUGUGUGUGUGUG